UAUAAUGGGUCAGCGACUUAUAUUCUGUAGCAAGGUUAACCGUAUAGGGGAGCCGAAGGGAAACCGAGUCUUAACUGGGCGUUAAGUUGCAGGGUAUAGACCCGAAACCCGGUGAUCUAGCCAUGGGCAGGUUGAAGGUUGGGUAACACUAACUGGAGGACCGAACCGACUAAUGUUGAAAAAUUAGCGGAUGACUUGUGGCUGGGGGUGAAAGGCCAAUCAAACCGGGAGAUAGCUGGUUCUCCCCGAAAGCUAUUUAGGUAGCGCCUCGUGAACUCAUCUUCGGGGGUAGAGCACUGUUUCGGCUAGGGGGUCAUCCCGACUUACCAACCCGAUGCAAACUGCGAAUACCGAAGAAUGUUAUCACGGGAGACACACGGCGGGUGCUAACGUCCGUCGUGAAGAGGGAAACAACCCAGACCGCCAGCUAAGGUCCCAAAGUCACAGUUAAGUGGGAAACGAUGUGGGAAGGCUCAGACAGCCAGGAUGUUGGCUUAGAAGCAGCCAUCAUUUAAAGAAAGCGUAAUAGCUCACUGGUCGAGUCGGCCUGCGCGGAAGAUGUAACGGGGCUAAACUGUGCACCGAAGCUGCGGCAGCGACGCUUAUGCGUUGUUGGGUAGGGGAGCGUUCUGUAAGCCUGCGAAGGUGUCCUGUGAGGGAUGCUGGAGGUAUCAGAAGUGCGAAUGCUGACAUAAGUAACGAUAA
rnacentral:rRNA from 1 species